rnacentral:rRNA from 1 species
GCGAAGGCAGCGUACCGGCGCCAGACUGACGCUGAGGCACGAAAGCGUGGGGAUCGAACAGGAUUAGAUACCCUGGUAGUCCACGCAGUAAACGAUGAAUGCUGGUUGUCCGGGUCGAAUGAGAUCUGGGCGGCGAAGCGAAAGCGAUAAGCAUUCCACCUGGGGAGUACGCCGGCAACGGUGAAACUCAAAGGAAUUGACGGGGGCCCGCACAAGCGGAGGAACAUGUGGUUUAAUUCGAUGAUACGCGAGGAACCUUACCCGGGCUCAAACGGGAGUGGAAUGGACCAGAGACGGUUCAGCCUACGGGCCGCUUCCGAGGUGCUGCAUGGUUGUCGUCAGCUCGUGCCGUGAGGUGUCGGCUUAAGUGCCAUAACGAGCGCAACCCCCGCCGGCAGUUGCUAACGGGCAAUGCCGAGGACUCUGCCGGGACUGCCGCCGCAAGGCGAGAGGAAGGCGGGGAUGACGUCAAAUCAGCACGGCCCUUACGUCCGGGGCGACACACGUGUUACAAUGGGCGGUACAGCGGGAAGCCAGGCGGCGACGCCGAGCGGAACCCGAAAGCCGUUCUCAGUUCGGAUCGGAGUCUGCAACCCGACUCCGUGAAGCUGGAUUCGCUAGUAAUCGCGCAUCAGCCAUGGCGCGGUGAAUACGUUCCCGGGCCUUGUACACACCGCCCGCCAAGCCAUGGGAGCCGGGGGUGCUUGAAGUGCGUCGCCGCGAGGCGCGCCCUAGAGCAAAACCGGUGACUGGGGCUAAGUCGUAACAAGGUAACCGUAA